rnacentral:rRNA from 1 species
UACGUAGGGUGCGAGCGUUGUCCGGAAUUAUUGGGCGUAAAGAGCUUGUAGGUGGUUUGUCGCGUCUGCUGUGAAAAUCCGAGGCUCAACCUCGGACUUGCAGUGGGUACGGGCAGACUAGAGUGUGGUAGGGGGAGACUGGAAUUCCGUGGUGUAGCGGUGGAAUGCGCAGAUAUCAGGAGGAACACCGAUGGCGAAGGCAGGUC